UACGUAGGGUGCAAGCGUUGUCCGGAAUUAUUGGGCGUAAAGAGCUCGUAGGCGGUUUGUCGCGUCUGCUGUGAAAACGCGAGGCUCAACCUCGCGCCUGCAGUGGGUACGGGCAGACUAGAGUGCUGUAGGGGAGACUGGAAUUCCUGGUGUAGCGGUGAAAUGCGCAGAUAUCAGGAGGAACACCGAUGGCGAAGGCAGGUCACUGGGCCGCAACUGACGCUGAGGAGCGAAAGCAUGGGGAGCGAACAGG
rnacentral:rRNA from 1 species